UACUUGGCCCCACCGGGACACUUGGCGUCCAGGGCUCGAGAGUGAGGCAGAGCCAGGAGGACUUGGCCCAGUCAGAGCCAAAGGGUCAAGGCUGAUGUGAAAAAACGCGGGGAUUUACAGCUGGAGAUAGCUCAGCCCUGGCUGUGUGACUGCAGCUGGGGAAGGGACCGCUGCAGCCCGGGCUUUCCCAGUCACUCUAGAGCAAUUGGCACUGUCCCUCGUAGCGGUCUGGGGUCUCCGACUUGGCAGCACCUCUGGCGUGUUUCUCCAGAAACAUCCACAGCAGACACUGGGGUGGUUGAUGUCCCUCAUGAAGACUGGGACUGGUGAAGGUGAGGUCGCUUGGAGCUGUCUGUGCGACAGCCUGAUCCGCCAGUUCCUCCUGCUCAGGUGGCCUGUGGCAGACACCCACUGCAGUGUCACUCUGCUCACUGGAAGAAGAGCCGCUUCAGAAGGUUCAUUUAUGCUCCUUGCCAUGGUCCCAAGUAUUUCCUCUCACUGUGAUUAAGUCAGAUAUCUCAUACCACUGCUGUCUGUAGCUGAAAAUGCUCCCUCCUGCCUGGCACAUUGCAUCCCAGGGGUCCAGGUCUUCCAAGACUAAGCCUGACAGAAAAGAACUACUAUGACAUCCAGGAAUACGUCAUUCCAUGACCAGAGCAAUAGAUACAGCAAGACUGAGGAGCAGGCAAGAAGAUGACUUGGAGAAGUAAGACAGGUGCCAUCCACAUCCUUCUUGUGUUGUUUUCCAUCCCUUAGAAGGAUCAGACCCCAUAGCUUUCUGUGUCUCUCUCCUUUGAUGAGCUCCUCGGGAUGUUCAUAAGCCACUCUGCAUAUGUUCUGCUCAUCCCACCAGGAGGAAGCAGUGCAGUCCCAGGCCAAGCGCUGCACCAGUACCAUGGGAAGCAGUGAGAAAAAGACUUUGGAAAAGUGCAAGGAACAGCAAGCCUGAUUACUUGUUUAAAGAACAGCUUUUUAGGAAGUACUGCAUUCCACAUGGAGUUGAGUUUUUAAACCCCUUUGAAAACUCAAUCUUAUUGAAGAUUUUAUGACUGCAGACCCACAGAAACUGAUUUAAAAGAUGCAGAAGACAGAUAUUGAAAGUAAUAUGAAAGUAAAUGAGCCACAUUUCCUAAUAUUUACAACUACUUUAUACUGAGCUCUGAACAAUGAAGCUAAAAUCUCAUUUUAAUGAGGAAAAUGUUUCCCUAAUUAUCUAAUUUUACAUGCUCUUCCAAUAAUUUAUUUUUUCCUCUC